UUGUCUUUUUAUUAAGCAAACUACGCUUGGGGGUUAGCCACCCGAAUUCAUUCGUUUCUAUUAAAUGAAAUUUAUUUAUUUUAUCUAUUAUUAUGCAGGAGAUGAUGAUAUCCAAGAUGCAUGAUAUGCUUUUGCCAGUGUUCUCUCUGUUCAAGUUUCAUUUGGAUGCUCCACGUAUCCACAGCUCCUCACCGCUGUCUUGUCCACCUCAUUGUGGAAUGUCGUAGUAAUUCUCAAAAGUUUGCACGGCAAGUAGCAUAUGAAGUAUCAAUGCUAAAGCAGAUUUCAAUAUUUUAUCAACAGUUACGUGGCAUGGAAAUAGUUUCUUGUUGACUUCUUUCCUUUGAUUACUAUUCAUUGUGUACAGUUAAGUGGCAUGGAACUGAAACCAUACUUUGUUGUUGACUUGUUUCAUUGUGGACAGAUUUUCCUUGUUAAGUUGAGAUAUUAGCAUCUUACUAGAUCUUGAUUACUAUUCAUGUUAUGCUGUCUUUGGAUUUAUCUUAGCUCAGCAGGACAAAGUCAUGAAGGGUUCAUCCUUACACUAGUUUGAUGCCAGCUGCCUACAUUUACCAAUAUUUUUUAAUAUGGUUUAAGUUCAUGCAUAUCUGAUUUUAUGAGUUUCAGUAGGCGUCAUCAAGUCAUGGGCUGUGGCUUCAAUCCCCGGAUUUUUUGUUUGCAUGUGCUGUGCUGCUAUGAAACAUUGUUUGGCAAACAAUGUUUUGGGAAUUUCUUCCCGUAUCCAGCACGUUUCCCACCCGCAGAUGCUGCCUCCAUGCUUUUCAUUGCCGACACUGCAAUAUCUGGUAUAUGUGUUGCACUUGCCCUCUGUAUCGCUGUGCCAAGAGCUAGCAAGAACCGUUUCUUUAAUUACGCAUUUUUGCGAUACACUGUAAUUAUCAUCAUACUGAACUGGUUUCA